UAGGGAAUCUUGCGCAAUGGGCGAAAGCCUGACGCAGCAAUGCCGCGUGAGUGAUGAAGGCCUUCGGGUUGUAAAGCUCUUUUGGCGGGGACGAUGACGACGGUACCCGCAGAAUAAGCCCCGGCUAACUUCGUGCCAGCAGCCGCGGUAAUACGAAGGGGGCAAGCGUUGUUCGGAAUUACUGGGCGUAAAGGGCGCGUAGGCGGCUUACCAAGUCAGGCGUGAAAUUCCCGGGCUCAACCUGGGGGCUGCGCUUGAUACUGGUGAGCUUGAAUGCGGGAGAGGAUAGUGGAAUUCCCAGUGUAGAGGUGAAAUUCGUAGAUAUUGGGAAGAACACCAGUGGCGAAGGCGGCUAUCUGGCCCGUUAUUGACGCUGAGGCGCGAAAGCGUGGGGAGCAAA
rnacentral:rRNA from 1 species